UGAGAUUACGAUGAGGAUACAAAGCUCCCUCUUCUGAAAUAAAUCUGAAGAAAAUCUGCUGGCAGAAUCGAACCUAAUUAUUAUUUCAUGCCAUCUGAGUAA